rnacentral:rRNA from 1 species
CCUACGGGUGGCUGCAGUGAGGAAUAUUGGUCAAUGGGCGGGAGCCUGAACCAGCCAAGUCGCGUGAGGGAAGACGGUCCUAUGGAUUGUAAACCUCUUUAGGCGGGGAGCAAUGCCGGGCACGCGUGCCCGGAGGGAGAGUACCCGCAGAAUAAGCAUCGGCUAACUCCGUGCCAGCAGCCGCGGUAAUACGGAGGAUGCGUGCGUUAUCGGGAUUUAUUGGGGUUACAGGGUGCGUAGGCGGAUGUUUAAGUCAGCGGUAAAAUGUCUGGGCUAAACCCGGGGCGGCCGUGGAAACUGGGGAUCUUGAGUGGGCGAGAGGGAGGCGGAAGGCGUGGUGUAGCGGUGAAAUGCAUAGAGAUCACGAAGAACUCCGAUGGCGAAGGCAGCAUACCGGCGCCCGACUGACGCUGAGGCACGAAAGCGUGGGGAGCGAACAGGAUUAGAUACCCUUGUAGUC